CAGCCGCCACGGUAAUACGGAGGGAGCUAGCGUUGUUCGGAAUUACUGGGCGUAAAGCGCGCGUAGGCGGUUGCUCAAGUCAGAGGUGAAAGCCCGGGGCUCAACCCCGGAACUGCCUUUGAAACUAGGUAACUAGAAUCUUGGAGAGAUCAGUGGAAUUCCGAGUGUAGAGGUGAAAUUCGUAGAUAUUCGGAAGAACACCAGUGGCGAAGGCGACUGACUGGACAAGUAUUGACGCUGAGGUGCGAAAGCGUGGGGAGCAAACAGGAUUAGAUACCCCGGUAGUCCCUGUCUCUUAUAC
rnacentral:rRNA from 1 species